rnacentral:rRNA from 1 species
UACGUAGGGUGCAAGCGUUAAUCGGAAUUACUGGGCGUAAAGCGUGCGCAGGCGGUUUUGUAAGUCUGACGUGAAAUCCCCGGGCUCAACCUGGGAAUUGCGUUGGAGACUGCAAGGCUGGAGUCUGGCAGAGGGGGGUAGAAUUCCACGUGUAGCAGUGAAAUGCGUAGAGAUGUGGAGGAACACCGAUGGCGAAGGCAGCCUCCUGGGCCAACACUGACGCUCAUGCACGAAAGCGUGGGGAGCAAACAGG